UACGUAGGUGGCAAGCGUUGUCCGGAUUUACUGGGCGUAAAGAGCGCGCAGGCGGUCGAUUUAGUCGCGUGUGAAAGCCCCCGGCUCAACUGGGGAGGGUCACGCGAUACGUGAUCGACUCGAAGGCAGGAGAGGGUAGUGGAAUUCCCGGUGUAGUGGUGAAAUGCGUAGAUAUCGGGAGGAACACCAGUGGCGAAGGC
rnacentral:rRNA from 1 species